UUCCUGAGCUCCUUUAUAGGUCUCUUGCUGUGAAGCUUGUGAUUAGCAUGCAUUUCAAGCAUUCAAUUCUUGUGGGGGUGGAGCUGGAGAAGGUGGGGCGUCAGAGCAGAGCCAGUUAUAGCGUCCACGAUCUCCUCAGGCAUGGACAAUCCCGCCAGAUUGACCACGUUGUGGGCUUUGGUCAGCGUUGUGUGUGCCCAGUGGUUGGAGCACACUGAAGUGGAGGAACAGUGCUGUCGUCAACUAUGGAUUCAGGUAGUUUCUGAUUUUCUCUCCUGUUGUGGUGGUCCUGCAGGUUACUGUUUACAUGAUGCAUUGCUCGCAGUCGGUGUCGUGCUUGUGUGUCUGCUAUAAUGCCUUUGCUACAACAUGACAUGUGUUAAUGUAGUGUUUAUUAAGAUUUGGUCAGCAUGCUGAAUAAGUCCCGGGUUUAUCCGUGUGUGGCAGAUCCUGAGAGUUCUGUCAGGACAGGGUGAGACACUGAGGCAAAAGGCGAAUGUACAUGCUCCUUAUUACUUAUCAUAAACAUUUUCCUGGGAGUUCUUUUUUAUUGUUUCUCAUCUGAAAUUGGAUUCAUACUGAUGCCAUUCUUACAUCUCAUUUUGUAACAAUUAUCUUCUGAUAUUAUGAGUCUUGGGGAUUAUAAGUGCCAUUCAACUGUUCACUCUCAUGAGAAAGACGGGUUGGCGCUUACUAAUGCAAUAACCAGUGCAAACAGGUUUGAACUGUCCGUGCCUACUGUUGCCCCAACGACUGUGGGCAAGAAAGGUCUGGAAGAAGCAGAACCCUUUACUAGGAACACCGACGUCUUUUGGUGACCUUAGUCUUUUGGAAACAAGUUUUGUAAAUGGAUGGUUUUUUAUCAGUAUAGAUGUACUAUCGAUUCCUCUGCUUGAGCUCCGGCUCGCAGGCACAUAUUGCCAAAUCAUUUGGUUGCUUCAGAGCUAUGGUGACUGUUAUCACAACAAUGUCACUGUCCAUCCAGACUGUCAGGCUACUUGGAGACAGAUUGCCUUUUAGUAAGGUGCACACCUUCCAAGUGUAUAUCCUGGACUUGGUGCCUGGAGGUGAAACGAGAAUGUAAUUAUCUCCAGGUCCUUUGCCGCCACCUGCUCAUGGCUGUCAUCGUCCCUUUGAUGAAAUGCAUUGGAUAGAUUGUGUGCAACUUCUAAAGAAACAGGGAAGGGAAGCAUUGUCUGUAGAUCACUUUUCCCUUGGAAAAAAUAGACAAUGACGAGCUUACCACCGUUGUUACAAUCGAAUGGAGGGGAACCCCUUUGCUGUGCUGCUCUACAGAAAACACCUCAGAGUUUCACACCUUUUGGAUCCUACCCUUUUGUACCUGCUCAAAAUCUGUUAUUCAGCUCAUGUGCAUAUUAUGACCCAUGCCAUCUGUCAGUGUUUCUAUAUGGUCAGUGUUUCUAUAUGAUGCCAGCGUUUAUUUAUGACUGAAUUUCUUAUUAAGUGGCCAGCCACAUGAUUUAUAAUUAUGACCUACAACACGCCAAAACAUCUAUAUUCCCAGCCCAUUAUCAUGUCUGAUGGUAUGAAGUUCGGCGGGCACCGCGUGGCAAGCCACGCCCCCUGGUGCACUACUGAGUGCUUCCUCUAUAUGUACAAAUGACCAGGUCUAAUUAUUAUGAAUCCUAUGUACAGAUGAUCAAGUAUCUAUCCGUUAUGUGUACAUAACCUGGAUUAUUGCUUCCUGUUACUACAUCAUUGACAUGAAGUGCUUAUAACCCUUUGUUCAGAGAAGGGAGUCUAUUUCUAUCAGGUGCAAAAUAGAAUCAUGUGUGAUAAUAGAGAGAAGGAUGCUGCUCUUCUCUCGAAGACCACAUGAUUCCUGCCUUUUAGUGAUUGAUUUUGCUAACUCAGAACGAUGAUUUGUUUGCUUUAUAGUAUCCAUCGCCUUUGCCAAUUUAUUUUUUCCUUCGAUUAAUAUCUAAAUGUAAUUUUGACCCGAAAUUCUCUCUAUUCAAUACAUGCAUAAUAAUUUUUGCUCAAAAAUACAUGCGUAAUGUGUAGCAUUUCUGUCAAUUGGAAGUGAGCUUCGGUAGAUUUUAUAUUAGGCUAGCCGCACCUGUGUAUUUCUAUCAGCUUUUACUAUCUGUUCUUCAAUGGAUCAGUUGCAUCAGACUGUAGGUACUGUUGACCGUAAAGCUAUAAAUCCAUCUGCAUGCUUUUGUCCGUGCAACUAAGAUCAAUUUUCCGAUUCAUUUAUUGUGAAAUCUUAUUCUACAAGAGGCAAAAAGUCAUUUCUGUUUGUUCUUGCUGUUAAUAUGUAUUUCUGCCUCCGAUACCCUCACAAAUUUAAUGGAUUGUCCUGUUAUUAUUUUCUUAUACUCUCUUCGUCCGAAAAUACUUGUCAUUGAAAUGGAUGUAGUUGUAUUUGGAGCAUUCAUUUUGAUGACAAGUAUUCAUUUUGAUGUAGUUGUAGAUGCAUUCAUUUUGAUGACAAGUAUUUCCGGACGGAGGGAGUAGUUGUAUUUGGAGCAUUGACAUCUCUAGCCGAGCCGCGCAAGCAGAAAGCGGAGCAGGAGCAGCUCGGGGAUGAAGCCAAGGUCUAAAACGCCGAAUCUCCCAAUAAAGUGGAUGACAAAGUUGUGAACUAAGCAGCAAAAUGAGGCCAAGAGCAUGAUGGCGUCAUCGCUAUCGCCCCCUUCAACGUCCAGGAACCAGGCAAAACGCCAUUGUCAAUGUGAGGGGCGAUGAGCGAAUGGGCGGCGGCAUCACGCACAAUGGCAUGACGAUCAGAUCGGUGACGUGAUCGAUGCGGUGGACAAUGCCAAUGAUCAGUUCAUUAUUGUCGAUCGUUGUGUGGGAUUCUGUGUCAAUCUUUUUCUGUAAACUUUUGUUUUGUUGAUUCCAAUUAUUUAAGAAAUUGUGAAAUUUUGUAUCUUCUGUAAGUAAAUGUCAAUGCCAAGGCGUCUUUUGUAUAUUUUAUGUAAUUCUCAGAAGGUUGCAAACGAACUUAUUAUUUUGUGUUAUUCUAAACCUUGAAGCUUUUGGUGCAUUAUAUAUGCUAAAUAUUAUAUGAAAUGCAUCAAUGGAAUGUACUGAUCUUCGUGACUUUGUUACUGGAUUGGAUAUGAUUCACCCGGCAGGCAUGUGGCAAGCCGCACUUCCUACUAACUUAAA